GGUAAAAUGACUGAGCGUUAAGUGGUGGAUUGUAGCCCCAUAGACAGAGGUUUAAGUCCUCUUUUUACCA
rnacentral:tRNA from 1 species